rnacentral:rRNA from 1 species
UGCAGUCUAGCGGACGGAUGGGAGCUUGCUCCCUGAUGUUAGCGGCGGACGGGUGAGUAACACGUGGGUGACCUGCCUGUAAGACUGGGAUAACUCCGGGAAACCGGGGCUAUUACCGGAUGCUUGUUUGAACCGCACGGUUCACACAUAAGAGGUGGCUUCGGCUACCACUUACAGAUGGACCCGCGGCGCACUAUCUAUUUGGUGAGGUGAUGGCUCACCACGGCGACGAUACGUAGCCCACCUGAGAGGGGGAUCGGCCACACUGGGACUGAGACACGGCCCACACACCUACGGGAGGCGGCAGUAGGGAAUCUUCCGCAAUGGACAAAAGUCUGACAGAGCAACGCCCCGUGAGUGAUGAAAGUUUUCGGAUCGUAAAGCUCUCUUGUUAGGGAAAAACAAGUACCGUUCGAAUAUGGCGGGACCUUGACGGUACCUAACCACAAAGCCACGGCUAACUACGUGCCACCAGCCGCGGUAAUACGUAUGUGGCAAGCGUUGUCCGGAAUUAUUGGGCGUAAAGGGCUCGCACGCGGUUUCUCAAGUCUGAUGUGAAAGCCCCCGGCUCACCCGCGGAGGGUCAUUGUAAACUGUGGAACUUGAGUGCGCAAGAGGAGAGUGUGAUUCCACGUGUAUCGCUGAAAUGCGUAUAGAUAUGUAGGAACACCACUGGCGAAAGCGACUCUCUGGGCUGUAACUGACACUCAGGAGCGAAAGCGUGGGGAGCGAACAGGAUA